AUUGAACGCUGGCGGCAUGCUUUACACAUGCAAGUCGAACGGCAGCGCGGGCUUCGGCCUGGCGGCGAGUGGCGAACGGGUGAGUAAUGCAUCGGAACGUGCCCAGUAGUGGGGGAUAGCCCGGCGAAAGCCGGAUUAAUACCGCAUACGACCUGAGGGUGAAAGCGGGGGACCGAAAGGCCUCGCGCUAUUGGAGCGGCCGAUGUCGGAUUAGCUAGUUGGUGGGGUAAAGGCUUACCAAGGCGACGAUCCGUAGCUGGUCUGAGAGGACGACCAGCCACACGGGGACUGAGACACGGCCCAGACUCCUACGGGAGGCAGCGGUGGGGAAUUUUGGACAAGGGGGGCAACCCUGCACCAGCCAGGCCGCGGGGGGGAAGAAGGCCUUCGGGUGGUAAACCGCUUUUGUUCGGGAAGAAAUCCUCUGGGCUAAUACCCCGGGGGGAUGACGGUACCGGAAGAAUAAGCACCGGCUAACUACGU
rnacentral:rRNA from 1 species